UGGCUCAUAUGCUGGAGGCUCAUAAACUGGUGGUUUAGGUUUUGGCUUUUCUUCCUUUGGUGGUGCAUAAACUGGUGGCUUAGGUGGUUUGGGCUCAUAUAUUGGUGGGUUGUUGGGAGGUUGAUACAUUGGUGGUUUUAGUGGCUUAGGUUCGUACAUUGGAGGCUUUUUUGGAGGUUCAUACAUUGGUGGUUUGGGUUCAUCAGGUUUCUUUUUCUUUGGAGGUGUAUAAACCGGUGGCUUUGGUGGCUUAGGUUCGUACAUUGGAGGCUUUUUUGGAGGUUCAUACAUUGGUGGUUUGGGUUCAGGUUUCUCUUUCUUUGGAGGUGUAUAAACCGGUGGCUUUGGCUCGGGCUUCUCCUUCUUUGGAGGUUCAUAUACGGGUGGUUUGGGUUCAGGUUUCUCUUUCUUUGGAGGUGUAUAAACCGGUGAUUUUGGCUCAGGUUUCUCCUUCUUUGGAGGUUCAUAUACUGGUGGUUUAGGUUCAGGCUUCUCCUUCUUUGGAGGUUCAUACACUGGUGGUUUGGGUUCAGGCUUCUCUUUUUUUGGAGGUGUAUAAACCGGUGGCUUAGGUUCAUAUGGUGGUGGUUUCACCUUGGGAGGCUUGUAUACUGGAGUAGGGGGUUUCCCAUAAUUUGGUGACUCGUAGGUACCAAAAGUGGGAGCGGUGAGAGUCACCACUCCAAGUAGCAAUACUAGCAAGUGUGUUGUAGACAUCAUUG
rnacentral:lncRNA from 1 species